GCAAAAUGACCCCGUAACUUCGGGAGAAGGGGGGCCUCUGAUGUAAUAAGACUUGCUCUGAAAGCGUUGGUGGCCGCAGAGAACAGGCUCAAGCGACUGUUUACCAAAAACACAGGUCCGUGCUAAAGCGAAAGCUGAUGUAUACGGGCUGACGCCUGCCCAGUGCCGGUAGGUUAAGGGAGGAGGUGAGAGCUUCCGACUGAAGCCCCGGUGAACGGCGGCCGUAACUAUAACGGUCCUAAGGUAGCGAAGUCCCUUGUCGGGUAAGUUCCGACCCGCACGAAUGGCGUAACGACUUGAACACUGUCUCAACGAUGGACUCGGUGAAAUUGCAGGACCCGUAAAGAUGCGGGUUACGCGCAGCAGGACAAAAAGACCCCGUGGAGCUUUACUGCAGCUUGACAUUGGUUCGAGCUUUAACCUGUGUAGGAUAGGCGGGAGACUAUGAAUUAGAUGCGCCAGCAUUUAAGGAGUCGCCCUUGAAAUACCGCCCUGCUUACAGUUUGAAUCUAACUUUUACUAGAACAGUGUCUGGUGGGCAGUUUGACUGGGGCGGUCGCCUCCCAAAGAGUAACGGAGGCGCACAAAGGUCACCUCAGGCUGGAUGGAAAUCAGCCUUAGAGCGUAUUGGUAUAAGGUGGCUUGACUGCGAGACAUACAAGUCGAGCAGGGACGAAAGUCGGUCAAAGUGAUCCCACGGUACCGUGUGGAAGGGCCGUGGCUUAACGGAUAAAAGCUACCCCGGGGAUAACAGGCUUAUCUCGCCCAAGAGUCCGUAUCGACGGCGAGGUUUGGCACCUCGAUGUCGGCUCGUCGCAUCCUGGGGCUGAAGAAGGUCCCAAGGGUCGGGCUGUCCGCCCGUUAAAGCGGCACGCGAGCUGGGUUCAGAGCGUCGUGAGACAGCUCGGUCUCUAUCCGCUGUGCGCGAAAGAUAUUUGAGGGGAUCUGUUUCUAGUACGAGAGGACCGAAAUGGACGAAUCCCUGGUGUGCCGGUUGUGACGCCAGUCGCAUUGCCGGGUAGCUACAUUCGGAAGGGAUAAACGCUGAAAGCAUCUAAGUGUGAAGCCCACCUCAAGAUAAGAUUUCCCACAGAGUUAAUCUGGUAAGACCCCUUGUAGAUAACGAGGUUGAUAGGCCAAGUGUGUAAGCGCGGUGACGUGUUUAGCUAAUUGGUACUAAUUGGUCGAGGGCUUAACUUA
rnacentral:rRNA from 1 species